GAUGAACGCUGGCGGCGUGCCUAAUACAUGCAAGUCGAGCGAACAGACGAGGAGCUUGCUCCUCUGGCGUUAGCGGCGGACGGGUGAGUAACACGUGGAUAACCUACCUAUAAGACUGGGAUAACUUCGGGAAACCGGCGCUAAUACCGGAUAAUAUAUUGAACCGCAUGGUUCAAUAGUGAAAGACGGUUUUGCUGUCACUUAUAGAUGGAUCCGCGCCGCAUUAGCUAGUUGGUAAGGUAACGGCUUACCAAGGCAACGAUGCGUAGCCGACCUGAGAGGGUGAUCGGCCACACUGGAACUGAGACACGGUCCAGACUCCUACGGGAGGCAGCAGUAGGGAAUCUUCCGCAAUGGGCGAAAGCCUGACGGAGCAACGCCGCGUGAGUGAUGAAGGUCUUCGGAUCGUAAAACUCUGUUAUUAGGGAAGAACAAAUGUGUAAGUAACUAUGCACGUCUUGACGGUACCUAAUCAGAAAGCCACGGCUAACUACGUG
rnacentral:rRNA from 1 species